ACAGUCUCUUGGGAGACGCAUCAAACAUAUGAUCGUUUAAAAAAAGGCGCAGUUUUCUGCGCCUUUUUU
rnacentral:sRNA from 1 species